AGAGUUUGAUCCUGGCUCAGGAUGAACGCUAGCUACAGGCUUAACACAUGCAAGUCGUGGGGCAGCGGAUGCUUAGCUUGCUAAGUAUGCCGGCGACCGGCGCACGGGUGAGUAACGCGUACCGAACCUGCCCAUCACACAGGGAUAGGCUUGCGAAAGCAAGAUUAAUACCUGAUGGUCUCAGUUGUAUGCAUGUAUGAUUGAGUAAAGCCUUCGGGCGGUGAUGGAUGGCGGUGCGUCCCAUUAGGAAGUUGGCGGGGUAACGGCCCACCAAUCCUUCGAUGGGUAGGGGUUCUGAGAGGAAGGUCCCCCACAUUGGAACUGAGAUACGGUCCAAACUCCUACGGGAGGCAGCAGUGAGGAAUAUUGGUCAAUGGGCGAGAGCCUGAACCAGCCAAGUAGCGUGCAGGACGACGGCCCUCUGGGUUGUAAACUGCUUUUAGUUGGGAACAAAAAAGGCGACGUGUCGCCUCUGGAGUGUACCAUCAGAAAAAGGACCGGCUAAUUCCGUGCCAGCAGCCGCGGUAAUACGGAAGGUCCGGGCGUUAUCCGGAAUUAUUGGGUUUAAAGGGAGCGCAGGCGGGAGUAUAAGUCAGCUGUUAAAUAUCAGGGCCCAACUCUGUUAUGCAGUUGAAACUAUAUUUCUUGAGUACGCACAGGGAUGGCGGAAUUCAGGGUGUAGCGGUGAAAUGCUUAGAUAUCCUGAAGAACUCCGAUCGCGAAGGCAGCCAUCCGGAGCGUAACUGACGCUGAGGCUCGAAGGUGCGGGUAUCGAACAGGAUUAGAUACCCUGGUAGUCCGCACGGUAAACGAUGAAUACUCGCAGUUCGGCCGUUUAUGGUCGAGUUGUCCAGCGAAAGCGUUAAGUAUUCCACCUGGGGAGUACGCCGGCAACGGUGAAACUCAAAGGAAUUGACG
rnacentral:rRNA from 1 species